rnacentral:rRNA from 1 species
AGUGAACGCUGGCGGUAGGCCUAACACAUGCAAGUCGAACGGCAGCACAGUAAGAGCUUGCUCUUACGGGUGGCGAGUGGCGGACGGGUGAGGAAUACAUCGGAAUCUACUUUUUCGUGGGGGAUAACGUAGGGAACCUUACGCUAAUACCGCAUACGACCUAAGGGUGAAAGCAGGGGAUCUUCGGACCUUGCGCGAUUGAAUGAGCCGAUGUCGGAUUAGCUAGUUGGCGGGGGAAAGGCCCACCAAGGCGACGAUCCGUAGCUGGUCCGAGAGGAUGGUCAGCCACACGGGAACUGAGACACGGUCCCGACUCCGACGGGAGGCAGCAGUGGGGAAUAUUGGACGAUGGGCGAAAGCCUGAUACAGCCAUACCGCGUGGGUGAAGAAGGCCUUCGGGUGGUAAAGCCCUUUUGUUGGGAAAGAAAAGCAGCAGGUUAAUACCCCGCUGUUCUGACGGUACCCAAAGAAUAAGCACCGGCUAACUUCGUG